UGGGAACCUUCCCUAUGGUUCGGAAUAGCCCAGGGAAACUUGGGGUAAUACCGGAUAAGCCCUUCGGGGGAAAGAUUUAUCGACAUUGGAUGGGCCCGCGUCGGAUUAGCUAGUUGGUGAGGUAACGGCUCACCAAGGCAGCGAUCCGUAGCUGGUCUGAGAGGAUGAUCAGCCACACUGGGACUGAGACACGGCCCAGACUCCUACGGGAGGCAG
rnacentral:rRNA from 1 species